rnacentral:rRNA from 1 species
CCUACGGGGUGCAGCAGUAGGGAAUAUUGCACAAUCGACGAAAGUCUGAUGCAGCAACGCCGCGUGUGCGAUGAAGGCCUUCGGGUUGUAAAGCACUUUUCUGAGGGAAGAGAAAGGACGGUACCUCAGGAAUAAGUCUCGGCUAACUACGUGCCAGCAGCCGCGGUAAUACGUAGGAGGCGAGCGUUAUCCGGAUUUAUUGGGCGUAAAGCGCGUGCAGGUGGUUUGGUAAGUUGGGUAUGAAAUCUCCUGGCUUAACUAGGAGAGGUUGCUCAAAACUACCAGACUAGAGGACGAUAGA